GAGGGAUCAUUACAGAGUUUCUACUCACAAACCACGCGAACCUACCAGUCGUUGCUUCGGCGGGCGCGGUCUGACCGCCCCGGCCCUCGGGCGCCCGCCGAAGGUACCAAACUAUUUGUAUCAUUGGCCUCUCUGAGUAUGUACUUAAAUAAGUCAAAACUUUCAACAACGGAUCUCUUGGUUCUGGCAUCGAUGAAGAACGCAGCGAAAUGCGAUAAGUAAUGUGAAUUGCAGAAUUCAGUGAAUCAUCGAAUCUUUGAACGCACAUUGCGCCCGCCAGUAUUCUGGCGGGCAUGCCUGUUCGAGCGUCAUUUCAACCAUCAAGCCCCGGCUUGUGUUGGGGGCCUGCGGAGACGCAGCCCCCGAAAAGCAGUGGCGGGCUCGCUGUCCACACCGAGCGUAGUAGCUUUAUGUCUCGCUCCGGAGUGCAGCGCGCGCCGGCCGUUAAAAGCGCCCCAGCGGCACCCAAGGUUGACCUCGGAUCAGGUAGGAAGACCCGCUGAACUUAAG
rnacentral:rRNA from 1 species